UACGGAGGGUGCAAGCGUUGUCCGGAUUCAUUGGGUUUAAAGGGUGCGCAGGCGGGACAUUAAGUCAGGGGUGAAAGACGGUUGCUCAACAAUCGCAGUGCCUUUGAUACUGGUGUUCUUGGGUGACCUUGAGGUAGGCGGAAUGGGUGGUGUAGCGGUGAAAUGCAUAGAUACCACCCAGAACUCCGAUUGCGAAGGCAGCCUACUGGAGGUUUACCGACGCUCAGGCACGAAAGCGUGGGGAGUCAAACAGGA
rnacentral:rRNA from 1 species